rnacentral:rRNA from 1 species
UACAGAGGUCUCAAGCGUUGUUCGGAUUCAUUGGGCGUAAAGGGUGCGUAGGCGGUGCCGCAAGUCAGGGGUGAAAUCCCGGAGCUUAACUCCGGAAUUGCUUUUGAUACUGCGGUGCUAGAGUAUGUUAGAGGAAAUCGGAAUUCCUAGUGUAGAAGUGAAAUUCGUAGAUAUUAGGAAGAACACCGGUGGCGAAGGCGGAUUUCUGGGACAUAACUGACGCUGAGGCGCGAAAGCGUGGGGAUCAAACAGG